rnacentral:rRNA from 1 species
UACGUAGGGUGCGAGCGUUGUCCGGAAUUAUUGGGCGUAAAGGGCUCGUAGGCGGUUUGUCGCGUCGGGAGUGAAAUCUCAGGGCUUAACCCUGAGCCUGCUUCCGAUACGGGCAGACUAGAGGUAUGCAGGGGAGAACGGAAUUCCUGGUGUAGCGGUGAAAUGCGCAGAUAUCAGGAGGAACACCGGUGGCGAAGGCGGUUCUCUGGGCAUUACCUGACGCUGAGGAGCGAAAGUGUGGGGAGCGAACAGG